rnacentral:misc_RNA from 1 species
AGCAAUUGCUAGAGGGGAAAAAAAAAAAGUGUUUAGCACAUCUAAUGCUCAAUGCCCAGCUAUAAAUUGGUAAAAGUUUCCUCAGAAAAAUCAUCACCAGCCAAACACAAAAGAGAAAGUUCAACUUUCAAUGACAGCCACAGAUAAAUCAUUCUUAUUCCCAUAGCAAUCAAUAUCAUUUCUUAAUCUAGUAAUCUGAUGAUGAAAAGUGUCAAAACCAAAUUUACAAUUACCAUCCUCAUGUGCAUUUUGCAAACCAUAUAAGACAAUCUUACAAAAAAAAUUUAUAUUUUAAGUCAACUCAAAACAUAAAUUUAAGAUCAAUUGCAUGAGAACUACAAAAGGGUGCAUUUUGUAUUAUCCAGUCUUGCUGAAGUCAAUCUAAUGAUUAAAUAAUCUAUAGUCCGGAAAUGACCCAGAGGCAAAUGAACCAGUAAUAAGAGUAUUUGAAAUUCUCAUUUCACUCUUUGCAUCUGAGACCAUUUCUCAUAAGU